rnacentral:sRNA from 1 species
GACAGCAAGCUGGCUGUGACAUGUCAACCUCACUGAUUGCCAGAAUUGAUUUGCUGGAUCUGCCCUGUUAAGAUGGUGUCCCAUUUCUUCCUGGCUCUGCCACAUGUGUUUUUCCAAAAUCUGGACACUUUACUGGAGAGAAUGAUUUCUCUAGAUGGAGAAAGACCACGGUCUACAGAGAAUCAAGUUCUUCUGCUGGAAUACUCAAGGCAUGUUGAGUAGGUUCCCCUGC